AGAUGUGAGGGUGAUCUGGCUGUGACAUCUGUCAUUCUGUUGAUGACCAGGAUUGAUUCAGCUCAUCUGGCUGGCUAGGUGGAUGUCCCCUUCCUCCCUCAUUGCUCCAUGUGUCCCUCCGGCCUUCCCCAAAUAGAGGAGGGCCAGUCUUCAGUCAGAGUUCUUUGAGUAGCUGCACUCCCCUGCUAGAACCUCAAACAAGCUUUCAAGAAGAGCCACUGUGCACUUGCUAUAAUCUCAGCUUACAUGUAACCCAUGUCUCAACCCAGGAAGUAGAUGGCUUUGUUAACAU
rnacentral:snRNA from 1 species